GCCUGAUUAGCGCAGUGGUAGCGCGUGACACUUCUAUUACCCAGAAAUGUCGAGGCCGCGGGUUCGACCCCCGCAUCGGGUU